rnacentral:rRNA from 1 species
UGCCAGACUCCUACGGGAGGCAGCAGUGGGGAAUAUUGCACAAUGGGGGAAACCCUGAUGCAGCGACGCCGCGUGAGCGAUGAAGUAUUUCGGUAUGUAAAGCUCUAUCAGCAGGGAAGAAAAUGACGGUACCUGACUAAGAAGCCCCGGCUAACUACGUGCCAGCAGCCGCGGUAAUACGUAGGGGGCAAGCGUUAUCCGGAUUUACUGGGUGUAAAGGGAGCGUAGACGGCAGUGCAAGUCCGGAGUGAAAGCCCGGGGCUCAACCCUGGGACUGCUCUGGAAACUGUAAAGCUGGAGUGCGGGAGGGGCAGGCGGAAUUCCUGGUGUAGCGGUGAAAUGCGUAGAUAUCAGGAGGAACACCGGCGGCGAAGGCGGCCUGCUGGACCGUAACUGACGUUGAGGCUCGAAAGCGUGGGGAGCAAACAGGAUUAGAUACCCCAGUAAC